UACAGAGGUGGCAAGCGUUGUUCGGAAUUACUGGGCGUAAAGGGCGCGUAGGCGGUUCGUUAAGUCCUAUGUGAAAUCCCCCGGCUCAACUGGGGAACUGCACAGGAAACUAGCGGGCUUGAGUUCGGGAGAGGGAAGCGGAAUUCCGGGUGUAGCGGUGAAAUGCGUAGAUAUCCGGAGGAACACCGGUGGCGAAGGCGGCUUCCUGGACCGACACUGACGCUGAGGCGCGAAAGCUAGGGGAGCAAACGGG
rnacentral:rRNA from 1 species